ACAAGUCACCUACAUGCGUGGGUCCAAUAACAUCACACACAUAUUACUACUGAGCAGAGGGGCUUGGUUUCCCGUUCAAAUCUGGAACAGAAAUUUACCUCAUUGCCUCACUUGGGAAUAAACCGACAAACAAGAUGACAACUUUGGACCAUAAUCCAAGCUCAUCUGAGAGUUUUGACCAGUGAAAUGGCUUUCCCACUUAUAAUCCCGAAGGUCACGCCGUAUGCGCCACGCCUGUCCUGGAUUCGCGCUCGUAGCCGUGACCUCAUCUGUCGCUUUCGGAGUACGCCGGACGAGCGGACUCUCUCCUCCUGAAAUGCUCCACGGACCGUGAGGGGGGGGUGGAUGGGGGAAUGGGGACUCCAUGUGCGGCUUCUCCCCCGACUGACCAGAGGGGGCGCCAGAGAGCAAUGAGCUGUGGACCUGUCCUGCUGACUGUAGCCCCUCCCCCUCUUUGUGUCUGUGAUGCUACAGCCGGUUAUGCGCCUGCCCCCCAAUAGUUACUCUUUCUUUAAAAUGCAAUGUCAUGCAAGACUAAUCGCACGAGGUGAUUAUAACACUUAAGAAGCGCAAGGUUAUGUUCACAUCAGCAUUUUAUUAAUAAAAAAACACAUGCCGUUAAAAAACAAACUCAAAGUAAAUCCUUAAUGCCGACACAAAUAUGCAGUAAUCAUUCGAUUAUGUAACCGCUCCAAUAAAUAAAUAUUUCCAGUGUGAA